AGAUAAUGUAUUAGGUAGUGGAUACUAAGAUUGUACAUACUUGGAUACUAAGAUUGUACAUACUGUAUUAGAUCCAUAGUGUUGCUACAGAAAAUUUUCCUUUUCAA